rnacentral:rRNA from 1 species
AAAUUGAAGAGUUUGAUCAUGGCUCAGAUUGAACGCUGGCGGCAGGCCUAACACAUGCAAGUCGAACGGUAACAGGAAACAGCUUGCUGUUUCGCUGACGAGUGGCGGACGGGUGAGUAAUGUCUGGGAAACUGCCUGAUGGAGGGGGAUAACUACUGGAAACGGUAGCUAAUACCGCAUAACGUCGCAAGACCAAAGAGGGGGACCUUCGGGCCUCUUGCCAUCGGAUGUGCCCAGAUGGGAUUAGCUUGUUGGUGGGGUAACGGCUCACCAAGGCGACGAUCCCUAGCUGGUCUGAGAGGAUGACCAGCCACACUGGAACUGAGACACGGUCCAGACUCCUACGGGAGGCAGCAGUGGGGAAUAUUGCACAAUGGGCGCAAGCCUGAUGCAGCCAUGCCGCGUGUAUGAAGAAGGCCUUCGGGUUGUAAAGUACUUUCAGCGGGGAGGAAGGGAGUAAAGUUAAUACCUUUGCUCAUUGACGUUACCCGCAGAAGAAGCACCGGCUAACUCCGUGCCAGCAGCCGCGGUAAUACGGAGGGUGCAAGCGUUAAUCGGAAUUACUGGGCGUAAAGCGCACGCAGGCGGUUUGUUAAGUCAGAUGUGAAAUCCCCGGGCUCAACCUGGGAACUGCAUCUGAUACUGGCAAGCUUGAGUCUCGUAGAGGGGGGUAGAAUUCCAGGUGUAGCGGUGAAAUGCGUAGAGAUCUGGAGGAAUACCGGUGGCGAAGGCGGCCCCCUGGACGAAGACUGACGCUCAGGUGCGAAAGCGUGGGGAGCAAACAGGAUUAGAUACCCUGGUAGUCCACGCCGUAAACGAUGUCGACUUGGAGGUUGUGCCCUUGAGGCGUGGCUUCCGGAGCUAACGCGUUAAGUCGACCGCCUGGGGAGUACGGCCGCAAGGUUAAAACUCAAAUGAAUUGACGGGGGCCCGCACAAGCGGUGGAGCAUGUGGUUUAAUUCGAUGCAACGCGAAGAACCUUACCUGGUCUUGACAUCCACAGAACUUUCCAGAGAUGGAUUGGUGCCUUCGGGAGCUGUGAGACAGGUGCUGCAUGGCUGUCGUCAGCUCGUGUUGUGAAAUGUUGGGUUAAGUCCCGCAACGAGCGCAACCCUUAUCCUUUGUUGCCAGCGGUCCGGCCGGGAACUCAAAGGAGACUGCCAGUGAUAAACUGGAGGAAGGUGGGGAUGACGUCAAGUCAUCAUGGCCCUUACGACCAGGGCUACACACGUGCUACAAUGGCGUAUACAAAGAGAAGCGACCUCGCGAGAGCAAGCGGACCUCAUAAAGUGCGUCGUAGUCCGGAUUGGAGUCUGCAACUCGACUCCAUGAAGUCGGAAUCGCUAGUAAUCGUGGAUCAGAAUGCCACGGUGAAUACGUUCCCGGGCCUUGUACACACCGCCCGUCACACCAUGGGAGUGGGUUGCAAAAGAAGUAGGUAGCUUAACCUUCGGGAGGGCGCUUACCACUUUGUGAUUCAUGACUGGGGUGAAGUCGUAACAAGGUAACCGUAGGGGAACCUGCGGUUGGAUCACCUCCUUA